GACGUCAAGUCCUCAUGGCCCUUAUGGGUAGGGCUUCACACGUCAUACAAUGGUCGGUACAGAGGGUCGCCAACCCGCGAGGGGGAGCUAAUCUCAGAAAGCCGAUCGUAGUCCGGAUCGCAGUCUGCAACUCGACUGCGUGAAGUCGGAAUCGCUAGUAAUCGCGGAUCAGCAUGUCGCGGUGAAUACGUUCCCGGGCCUUGUACACACCGCCCGUCACACCAUGGGAGUUGGUUGCACCAGAAGUGGUUAGCCUAACCGUAAGGAGGGCGAUCACCACGGUGUGGUCAAUGACUGGGGUGAAGUCGUAACAAGGUAGCCGUAUCGGAAGGUGCGGCUGGAUCACCUCCUUUCAAG
rnacentral:rRNA from 1 species